ensembl:lncRNA SLC45A4-AS1 SLC45A4 antisense RNA 1
AGAGAGGUGGGAAGGUGAUACAAACAGGUGGUCCGCUGGUAAUCCCCAUCGAGUGACUGGAUGAUCUGCAAAAGAGGAAAACAACCCGGCCAGAGAGUCAGGGGACGGCCACCAGAUGGCCCUGUGGACCGCCGCCCGACCCCCGAGCAAGCCGUGUGCCCCGAGGGCCCGACCCAAGAUCACACAGCUCUCUGCCACUCACUCUGGAGGAGACCAGAAACCUCGAGGUGCUGUCUUCACUCGGCUCCUCUCUCACACAGCCCUGAUGGAGAAGGUGGGUCCCUGGCACGUGGGCCCCAGGAGGGAGAAGACUCCGCUGUACAGGAGGUUCUGGAAGGAAGCCGUGCGCCUGGCUCUUACGUCCCAGCUCUUCCCUACAUCUUCUUUCACGCUGCAGCGGAAACCAGAAUGCCUACUAAUUCCUUAAGAACCAAAGGUUCAAGUGGUGCUACCUAUGUAUUUGCUUCUUACGUCCCCUGAACGUCGCUACGAUUCCACACGACAGCCCUCGAGAAUUCUUUCAAGUUUUCCAAAUGUCCUCUACCGUAGAAACAUCUCAAUUAAAACAAGAGUUUCCAAACUGU